UACAAUUCCCAGGGGACCUCGUGUUGAUCAGUUAUGGCUUCCAGUGGAGUUUCCCCAGAGGACCCGGACUGAAGAGCAAGUGGGAUAAAGGAGAAUGACGAGCAUCCCAUGCAACUCUCCACAGAGUGAAUCUCUGAAGAGUGCAACUAUGAUGUUGAGGACCAUGACUUGCUUGCAAACAAGCUGGUGUUAGAGGAGUGGCAUCACUGGCUUGAAGGGGCUGAGCAGCUGUUUGUGGUAUGGACAGACCACAAAAAAACUCAUCUACCUGAAAGUGGUCAGGACACUCAGGCCAGGUAUAAGCAGUGUGACCCGGUAUGGCUUACUUGAAGUGGAGCCUGAGUAGGUAGCUCUGAAACCCUUUCUGGAGACAGAGUGGUCGGAGAUGAAAUUGACAACCAAAGAGUUGCUGAAGGACGUCACUGGGUGAGGUGUGGACCAUCACCUGCCCACAUGGAUCCUGGACUACCAUACCAGCCAGCCCCAAUAUGUAAGGAUUCAUAAUGAUCAAUACUGAGAAAACCAAGGAGCUGGUGGUGGACUUUCACAGGCACAAACAUCCUACACUUACACCAGUGAACAUCCAGGGAUUGGAGAUCGAGAUAGUGGACUCAUAUAAGUACCUGGAUGUUCACCUGACCACUAAACUGGACUGGGCAAACAACACAAAUCCCAUCUAUGGAAA